UCCCUACGGGAGGCAGCAGUGAGGAAUAUUGGUCAAUGGGCGGAAGCCUGAACCAGCCAAGUCGCGUGAGGGAUUAAGGCCCUGCGGGUCGUAAACCUCUUUUGCCGGGGAGCAGAGGUCCGGACGUGUCCGGGCCGGGAGAGUACCCGGAGAAAAAGCAUCGGCUAACUCCGUGCCAGCAGCCGCGGUAAUACGGAGGAUGCGAGCGUUAUCCGGAUUUAUUGGGUUUAAAGGGUGCGUAGGCGGAUCGUUAAGUCAGUGGUCAGAUUGAGGGGCUCAACCCCUUCCCGCCAUUGAAACUGGCG
rnacentral:rRNA from 1 species